UUAUCCAGUCAAUUGAGCACUAAUUCUGAUUAGCAAAGACGACCUGUCACAUUCACCCAGUUGGACAUUCAUACCUGGAAGCUGCCCGGUACAACCACAGUGUGAUCUGCUGCCACUGGGCAGCUCCACUGGAGGGGUUGGGGUUAAGGGCCUCAGAGGUGCUCAAGGGCACCUCAGUGCGUGGUGA